UGGCAGCCGCGAUGGCUGGUCGAGUCGAGGACAAGGCCUCCUGCUGUCUUCUGCGGCUGCAGCUCUCUCUCUCUCUCUCUCUCUCUCUCUCUCUCUCUGAGGGUCGACGUGCUCUGCGGCCGGUGCAUGGUGCAGUCUGCCGUCUGCGAACGUCGGUCUCCCAAGUCGACGCCAAACACAAACUGCUGAAGGCCCGUCCACAAUAGUCCCGCACCUGCGGGCGGUCCGUGUCUUCAAUGCUACUGGUGACUGAUCAACGGGAUUUCACGCUAACGUUGUGACGUUCAAGCACAGCUGUCCCGUUAUUGCUGACGAGUUCUGGAUUCACUGACGGACUGUCACCGUCGUCUGCAACUUCCGCUUACGUCAGAAGAAUUUGGUAAAGUCGAAUCAAGGAAUCAAAUAAGGGUAAUCCGGAGGCAAACUGAGAAAAGAGAAUCGACCAGAGUAUUCCAGUUUCAUUCCGAGGUCCCAAACCACGAAAGAAGGAUGUGAGAUUGCAGCAGCCGAUUUUGCAGACCAGCUCGUCCAGGCAUGUGCAGAAGCAAUGACUUGCCUACACGCACGUGGUAGUGAGGUGCAUCGUGGGGCUACGCUGUGCUACCGGCCUGGUCUCGCUCUACCUCUGCACCAAGGUCUGUCCCCGGAGGAGCUCCUGCGCUCGGCCCGCUCACAGACAAUUGACCCUAAUUCCCCUGUCUACGAUCCCCCUCCCCUCCCUGCUCCUGGUGGAUCUUCCAGCUGCGGCGCACGUGUGAGGCGGAUGCUGCGUGGACCACGUCUCCCGCGGCUCCGCGCAGCCGGCUCUCAGCUGCCACCAGGGAUGUUAGACGUACCAACUUGUUGGUACAUAUACCAUUUUUCAGGGUCUUGUACCAUGUACCAAGUAGAAAUUGUGCUGGUAUACAGAAAUACCAACUUUGAACAUCGACCAUGUGCGAUGCGCCAUGCAUUAACAAUUAACAUUAGGCGUGGACGAAUAAUUCGAAUAGUUGCGUUUCAAUAAUUUCAUCUGUAUACUUUUAAUAAAACGGCAUUUAAAGAGAAAUUUUUAAGUGCUAAUUAAUUGAAAGUAUUCAUACUAGGUGCUUACGUUUUUAUGGCCAUCUUAUAAUUUCAGAAGCUAGUUCUCUAGAAAUUGAUCACUGCGCCA